UACGUAGGGGGCUAGCGUUGUCCGGAAUCAUUGGGCGUAAAGCGCGUGUAGGCGGUCCGGUAAGUCCGCUGUGAAAGUCGGGGGCUCAACCCUCGGAUGCCGGUGGAUACUGUCGGGCUUGAGUACGGAAGAGGCGAGUGGAAUUCCUGGUGUAGCGGUGAAAUGCGCAGAUAUCAGGAGGAACACCAAUUGCGAAGGCAGCUCGCUGGGACGUUACUGACGCUGAGACGCGAAGGCCAGGGGAGCAAACGGG
rnacentral:rRNA from 1 species